CGGCUACGCAUACAAUCCAGAUAAAGAGUACAAUAUUCAGCGGAUUUCUGAACCACUCUUUGCACAUUUUGCUAAGAGAUGUCCAAUCAAUUUUCCGUGAAAACAGCCUAGAAAGGCGUUGACGGAGAUGAAGGCUGCUAGAAGAAGGUACAGUUCGAGAAAACUCAUCUUUUUCAUCAGCUAUCUGCUGAAACUUUGCUUAAGAGACGUCCAAUCAAUUUUCCGUGAAAACAGCCUAGAAAGGCGUUGACGGAGAUGAAGGCUGCUAGAAGAAGGUACAGUUCGAGAAAACUCAUCUCUUUCAUCAGCUAUCUGCUGAAACUUUGCUGAAGGAGAGCCCAAAUUACCAAAGUUGAGGAACCUAAGCCUUUUGGGAACAGCAAGAUUGUUACCUUGGGAAUGGUUCUGAGAAUUAUCGUUACUUAUGAGUCCCCUAUGAGAUGUAGAAACAUGCAGAGGUACA
rnacentral:lncRNA from 1 species